rnacentral:rRNA from 1 species
GGGGGACCUUCAGGCCUCUUGCCAUCGGAUGUGCCCAGAUGGGGAUUAGCUAGUAGGUGGGGGUAACGGCUCACCUAGGCGACGAUCCCUAGCUGGUCUGAGAGGAUGACCAGCCACACUGGAACUGAGACACGGUCCAGACUCCUACGGGAGGCAGCAGUGGGGAAUAUUGCACAAUGGGCGCAAGCCUGAUGCAGCCAUGCCGCGUGUAUGAAGAAGGCCUUCGGGUUGUAAAGUACUUUCAGCGGGGAGGAAGGGAGUAAAGUUAAUACCUUUACUCAUUGACGUUACCCGCAGAAGAAGCACCGGCUAACUCCGUGCCAGCAGCCGCGGUAAUACGGAGGGUGCAAGCGUUAAUCGGAAUUACUGGGCGUAAAGCGCACGCAGGCGGUUUGUUAAGUCAGAUGUGAAAUCCCCGGGCUCAACCUGGGAACUGCAUCUGAUACUGGCAAGCUUGAGUCUCGUAGAGGGGGGUAGAAUUCCAGGUGUAGCGGUGAAAUGCGUAGAGAUAUGGAGGAAUACCGGUGGCGAAGGCGGCCCCCUGGACGAAGACUGACGCUCAGGUGCGAAAGCGUGGGGAGCAUACAGGAUUAGAUACCCUGGUAGUCCACGCCGUAAACGAUGUCGACUUGGAGGUUGUGCCCUUGAGGCGUGGCUUCCGGAGCUAACGCGUUAAGUCGACCGCCUGGGGAGUACGGCCGCAAGGUUAAAACUCAAAUGAAUUGACGGGGGCCCGCACAAGCGGUGGAGCAUGUGGUUUAAUUCGAUGCAACGCGAAGAACCUUACCUGGUCUUGACAUCCACGGAAGUUUUCAGAGAUGAGAAUGUGCCUUCGGGAACCGUGAGACAGGUGCUGCAUGGCUGUCGUCAGCUCGUGUUGUGAAAUGUUGGGUUAAGUCCCGCAACGAGCGCAACCCUUAUCCUUUGUUGCCAGCGGUCCGGCCGGGAACUCAAAGGAGACUGCCAGUGAUAAACUGGAGGAAGGUGGGGAUGACGUCAAGUCAUCAUGGCCCUUACGACCAGGGCUACACACGUGCUACAAUGGCGCAUACAAAGAGAAGCGACCUCGCGAGAGCAAGCGGACCUCAUAAAGUGCGUCGUAGUCCGGAUUGGAGUCUGCAACUCGACUCCAUGAAGUCGGAAUCGCUAGUAAUCGUGGAUCAGAAUGCCACGGUGAAUACGUUCCCGGGCCUUGCACACACCGCCCGUCA